CAAGCUGACAGCUUGAUAUGCCUUCUUCUGCUGCCUGGUUUUGGGGGCUGUAUGACGUACUGGUCGGUAGUAAAGAUUAAUAUGUAAGAAAUGUGGAGCUAGGAUCAAGUCAUACUCCACAGCCUGCCUGGCAAACUAUGUUUUACUUCUGACUUUGCUCUCUCGCUGAGAACAUUAAUCUGUCAAGCUGGCGGGCUCCUUUGAUAGCAACUUUCCCAGGGGCAUGAUGUGGCAAUGCCACCUCUCAGCCCAGGACUACCGCUAUUACCCCGUGGACGGCUACUCCCUGCUUAAACGCUUCCCUCUUCAUCCUCUUACAGGACCCAGAUGCCCUGUCCAAACAGUGGGACAAUGGUUGGAAAGCAUUGGGCUACCUCAGUACGAGAACCACCUGAUGGCUAAUGGAUUUGACAAUGUGCAGUUUAUGGGAAGCAAUGUUAUGGAAGAUCAGGAUUUGUUGGAAAUUGGAAUCCUUAAUUCCGGGCACCGACAAAGAAUUCUACAGGCAAUCCAGCUCCUUCCAAAGAUGAGACCCAUUGGGCAUGAUGGCUACCAUCCCACCUCUGUAGCUGAGUGGCUGGAUUCCAUUGAACUGGGCGACUACACCAAAGCCUUUCUAAUUAAUGGCUACACUUCGAUGGACCUGUUGAAAAAAAUCUGGGAGGUUGAACUUAUUAAUGUUUUAAAAAUCAAUUUGAUUGGCCACAGGAAACGUAUUUUGGCAUCUCUGGGAGACAGGCUGCACGACGAUCCCCCACAGAAGCCCCCUCGGUCCAUCACCCUCAGGGUAAGUGCCAAGCACAUUCAUUUGGUUCUCCGCCCUUAUCUUAAGAACUAUUUGUUUGAGACCAGCCUGGCCAACAUGGUGAGACCCUGCCGCUACUAAAAACAGAAAAAAUUUAGCCAGGUGUGGUUGUGCCCGUCUGUAGUCCCGGCUACUCUGGAGGCUGAGACAUGAAAAUCGUUUGAACCCAGAAGGCGGAGCAUUGCAGUGAGCAGAGAUCGCACCACUGCACUCCAGCCUGGGCAACAGAGUAAGAAAAUAAAAAAAUUAUUUUGUGUAGUUUUAUAGGUUUUAUAAACAUGCGCUUUAUACAACUGAAGCAAUAGAUCAGGAAGUGCUGGCUCUUUUCUGUGUAGUUUACCAUAUCUGUGUAAAAAACAAUCUCUCUUUUGAUUGUUUGACACAAUCAAAACAACAAGAUUUGUUUUUCUAGAUUGGUUAAAUAUAUAUUUUUGAGAUUUAGAUAUCCAUCUGUAAUGGAAUUCAGCCUGACAAACCACCACCUUUAAAGAACCACUCUCUCACCUCCCAUCCCACACCCUAUCUACGCCAAGAGAGCGGAAAUGAGUUUUCUGUCAGACUCCUCAAACCCACAGAAAGAAAAUCGAUCAAGGACCACAGUUAAGUAAAGAUCAAUUUAAAAUUAACCUUAGGGUCUUCUGUUUUUCAAGAAGUAAAAUUUGUCCAGCUUUACUCACUUCAAAAAUUCAGAAUAGAGAAUCUAAAACCUUACUUAAUAAAUUGUAUUUCUUUUAUUCAACUACACUUUAGAAUUAUGAGGCAGGGGCCGGGCACAGUGGCUCAUGCCUGUAAUCCCAGCACUUUGGAAGGCAGAGGUGGGUGGAUCACGAGGUCAGGAGACCUAGACCAUCCUGGCUAACACAGUGAAACCCAGACUCUACUAAAAAUACAAAAAAUUAGCCGGGCAUGGUGGUGGGCGCCUAUAAUCCCAGCUACUCAGGAGGCUGAGGCAGGAGCUUGAACCCGGGAGGCAGAGGUUGCAGUGGGCCGAGAUUGCACCAC
rnacentral:sRNA from 1 species